CACGUAGGGUGCGAGCGUUGUCCGGAAUUAUUGGGCGUAAAGAGCUCGUAGGCGGUGUGUCGCGUCGGCCGUGAAAACCUGCAGCUUAACUGUGGGCUUGCGGUCGAUACGGGCAUCACUGGAGUUCGGCAGGGGAGACUGGAAUUCCUGGUGUAGCGGUGAAAUGCGCAGAUAUCAGGAGGAACACCGGUGGCGAAGGCGGCUCACUGGCCCGAUACUGACGCUGAGGCACGAAAGCGUGGGGAGCAAACAGG
rnacentral:rRNA from 1 species